AUGUAAAUGAGGUAGGGGGCCCUGACUUCAGUCUCGGGCAGGAAUGGUCAACUGAGUGAUCCAGACAGAAGUAAUCUAUUCCUAGCGAAUCUUCCUUGUAUAGUAGUUAGCAAACUAGCGUUACAUGUAAUGGCUUCAACCGGGAGACCGCUGGCAGACCUGCUGCGGGAUGUGGCUAAUCAGCUUGAGAACUCGCCGGGUACCGGUAGCGUGCCAAAUUCAUCCACGCCGUCCCGUAAUAUGACACCAAGACACCCAGUGGACGCCGAGGUGUCAAGACUGUUUGGUCCAUAUACCCAUGGAGGG